GACGAACGCUGGCGGCGUGCUUAACACAUGCAAGUCGAACGAUGAAGCCUAGCUUGCUAGGUGGAUUAGUGGCGAACGGGUGAGUAAUACGUGAGUAACCUACCUUUAACUCUGGGAUAAGCCUGGGAAACUGGGUCUAAUACCGGAUACGACCAAUCUCCGCAUGGGGUGUUGGUGGAAAGCGUUAUGUAGUGGUUAUAGAUGGGCUCACGGCCCAUCAGCUUGUUGGUGAGGUAACGGCUCACCAAGGCGACGACGGGUAGCCGGCCUGAGAGGGUGACCGGCCACACUGGGACUGAGACACGGCCCAGACUCCUACGGGAGGCAGCAGUGGGGAAUAUUGCACAAUGGGCGCAAGCCUGAUGCAGCGACGCCGCGUGAGGGAUGACGGCCUUCGGGUUGUAAACCUCUGUUAGCAGGGAAGAAGAGAGAUUGACGGUGCCUGCAGAGAAAGCGCCGGCUAACUACGUGCCAGCAGCCGCGGUAAUACGUAGGGCGCGAGCGUUGUCCGGAAUUAUUGGGCGUAAAGAGCUUGUAGGCGGUUUGUCGCGUCUGCUGUGAAGGCCGGAGCUUAACUCCGUGUAUUGCAGUGGGUACGGGCAGACUAGAGUGCAGUAGGGGAGACUGGAAUUCCUGGUGUAGCGGUGGAAUGCGCAGAUAUCAGGAGGAACACCGAUGGCGAAGGCAGGUCUCUGGGCUGUAACUGACGCUGAGAAGCGGAAGCAUGGGGAGCGAACAGGAUUAGAUACCCUGGUAGUCCAUGCCGUAAACGUUGGGCACUAGGUGUGGGGAACAUUCCACGUUUUCCGCGCCGUAGCUAACGCAUUAAGUGCCCCGCCUGGGGAGUACGGCCGCAAGGCUAAAACUCAAAGAAAUUGACGGGGGCCCGCACAAGCGGCGGAGCAUGCGGAUUAAUUCGAUGCAACGCGAAGAACCUUACCAAGGCUUGACAUAUACUGGACCGCAUCAGAGAUGGUGUUUCCCUUCGGGGCUGGUAUACAGGUGGUGCAUGGUUGUCGUCAGCUCGUGUCGUGAGAUGUUGGGUUAAGUCCCGCAACGAGCGCAACCCUCGUUCUAUGUUGCCAGCACGUUAUGGUGGGGACUCAUAGGAGACUGCCGGGGUCAACUCGGAGGAAGGUGGGGAUGACGUCAAAUCAUCAUACCCCUUAUGUCUUGGGCUUCACGCAUGCUACAAUGGCCGGUACAGAGGGUUGCGAUACUGUGAGGUGGAGCUAAUCCCUAAAAGCCGGUCUCAGUUCGGAUUGGGGUCUGCAACUCGACCCCAUGAAGUCGGAGUCGCUAGUAAUCGCAGAUCAGCAACGCUGCGGUGAAUACGUUCCCGGGCCU
rnacentral:rRNA from 1 species